CCGUAGCCCAAGAGAUCGGGAUAACACCUGGAAACAGAUGCUAAUACCGGAUAACAACAGAUGAUGCCUAUCAACUGUUUAAAAGAUGGUUCUGCUAUCACUCUUGGAUGGACCUGCGGUGCAUUAGCUAGUUGGUAGGGUAACGGCCUACCAAGGCGAUGAUGCAUAGCCGAGUUGAGAGACUGAUCGGCCACAUUGGGGCUGAGACACGGCCCAAACUCCUACGGGAGGCAGCAGCA
rnacentral:rRNA from 1 species